UACGAAGGUCCCGAGCGUUGUUCGGAAUCACUGGGCGUAAAGGGAGCGUAGGCGGCGCGGUAAGUCAGAUGUGAAAUCCCGGGGCUCAACCCCGGAACUGCAUCCGAUACUGCCGUGCUAGAGGAUUGGAGAGGUAGCUGGAAUUCUUGGUGUGGCAGUGAAAUGCGUGGAGAUCAAGAGGAACACUCGUGGCGAAAGCGAGCUACUGGACAAUUCCUGACGCUGAGGCUCGAAGGCCAGGGUAGCGAAAGGG
rnacentral:rRNA from 1 species